GCAGCGGGGGUAAUUCCAGUUCCAAUAGCGUAUAAAAAGUUGUUGCAGUUAAAAAGCUGGUAGUUGAAUUUCGGGGUUGGGCCGGUGGUCCGUCUAUGGUCUGUACUGGCGUGACGGAUUUCUACCUUCUGGGGAACCAUCAUGCUCAUUAACUUAG
rnacentral:rRNA from 1 species